rnacentral:rRNA from 1 species
AUGGAAUCCUAUGUUGGCAUGAGGUUUGACAGCCUUCAAAUUGCUAAGGAUCACUACAACAGCUACGCACGACGGAUGGGUUUCUCUAUCAAAAUGAACACAUCUAGACGGACACCCCGCACCAAUGAAUUGAUAAAACAACAGUUUUGCUGCAACAAGUUCAAGAAGUCCAAAGCUGAUGAUGGAGGAGCUGACGCUCCUCCUGUCCUGGACCCUAUUCCAGAUCCAAAAUCUGUUGACAGUGAUGAGGAGAUGGAAGAAGAACCUCCAAUAUUUGCUGAAGAGGAGGCUGGUACUAGUAAGAAGAAGAAGAAGCGCAAACGCGAGACAAUAAAGUAG